UACGUAGGGUGCAAGCGUUAAUCGGAAUUACUGGGCGUAAAGGGUGCGUAGGCGGGUCUUUUAAGUCAGGGGUGAAAUCCUGGAGCUCAACUCCAGAACUGCCUUUGAUACUGAAGAUCUUGAGUUCGGGAGAGGUGAGUGGAACUGCGAGUGUAGAGGUGAAAUUCGUAGAUAUUCGGAAGAACACCAGUGGCGAAGGCGGCUCACUGGCCCGGUACUGACGCUGAGGCGCGAAAGCGUGGGGAGCAAACAGG
rnacentral:rRNA from 1 species